AUUUAAAAAUAUAUAAUUGAAAGUCUCUGUCAUGUAAGAUUUGACAUUAGUUCUCGUCCGUCUAUUAUUUUUUUUAUUUUUCCUCCGAAACCACGAAAAAAAAAUUUAAACCAAAAUUCUUGUGUGGUUCUCUUUGAAAAAUGAUAUCCGGUACCCCGGGCAUAUUAUUUACAAGAUGGAUGAUAUUACAAAAAAAAGAAAAGAGGAAGAUAUGGUGAUAUAUACAAAAAACAAACCCUCUCCUGUAAAAUUAUUUGGUCACUCUGGACUUUUAUUUUAAGAAAUGAUGCUUGUGAUAUAAAGAGAAGACAGCUUUUGAUGGACUCUAUGUAUACAGGGUUACGGAUAAUUUCUAUAAUUUCUUAAUUCUGAAGGUAGCUGGUUAUUAGGUACACGCCAUAUGAAGACAAUUUACUCUAUUGAGC
rnacentral:lncRNA from 1 species